rnacentral:tRNA from 1 species
GGCCAAAGGGAGCAGACUGUAAAUCUGCCGGCACUGCCUUCGAUGGUUCGAAUCCGUCUCCCUCCA